GUCCAGGGAAGGCCAUGGGCCGCGGGCCCAUCCUGGGAGCCCCGCUUCUGCCAUGAGGCCUCAGGCUGUUCGCUCGGGGCAGCGCACAGCUGCCGUUUCCCCAGGUGGGACCCCGCGUCGCCUCGCGGAGCCCUCACAUUGGCCGCACCCGGGGCGGAGAAGUAUUGUUCAAACUCAGAUUUCUGUUGAAGCCAGCCUCAAGAACCACCUGUCACCCAUGUAUGGUUUCCGUGUAACCGAGACUUGGUGAACUUCAAGGAUGUGGUUGUGGAGUUCUCCCAGAAGGAGUGGCCAUUGCUGGACCUAUCUCAAAGAACUCUGUACAGGAACAUGAUGCUAAACUGCAGGAACCUGGCCUUACUUGGUAUUCUCCAAAGGCACAAGAGCAUUCAUACAAGGAAGAGUCAUUAUGAAUGUAAUCAGUGUGGAAAGACCUUCGGCACAAGUUCACCUUACUAUGCACAAUAGAAUUCAUGUAAGAGAGAAACCUUAAGAGUGCCAUGAGUGUGGGAAAGCCUUCAGAAAAUGCUCACAUCUGACACAGCACGUGAGAACUCAUAUGGGAGAAAAACUCUAUGAAUGUAACAAGUGUGGGAAAUCUUUUAACAGUACCUUUUCUCUAACUGUGCACAAGAAAAUACAUAUUGGAGAAAAAUCCUAACCCAAUGCAGUGAUUGUGGGAAUGCCUUUAAUAAUCUCUCAUCUGCUAAGAAGCACUUGAGAGCUCACACCAGAGAAAAAUCCUACAAAUACAAUCAUUGUGGAAAAUCUUUGGCCAGUAUUAAUUCUCUGUGCAUAAGGGAAUGUGUAAUAGGUAGAAGUGAAUGCAUUAACAACAGAACAGCACUCAUUGGACUCUCAUCCUUUGGAUAAAAUGAGAGAACUCAUAUUCUGCAUAAUGAAUUAUUACCCCACACUUUACAGCUUCAAAUAAGAAAUAUUUGUUUUCUCACAAUUUCUGCAAGUCAGGAACUAGGGAUGGCUUAGCUCUGAAUCCUAGAUCAAGGUCUCUUAUAAGGUUUUAUCCCAGAUGUCCAGCAGGAAUUCAGUCAGAAGAGGUCUUUACUGAUGAAGUGUUCAUUUCCAGAACCCCUCACUUGCAUGCCUAGAGAGUCAGUGCCACUUGUUUACAGGUACUGUGGUUUUGAGUGCAAUUUGAAUUUCCCCAAAAAGUCUGUGUUAAAGGUAUAGUACCAGAGUGGUGGUAUUGGGAAAUGUUGUGGAGCCUUUAAGAGGUGAAGCCUUAUGAGAGGUAGUUAGGUCUUUGGGGUGUGUCCUCAAAAGAGGUUGUGGGAUCCCUACCUAUCCUCUCUCUCCCCCUGCUUUUGGGCUUGAUAUGUGACCACUCACUCUGACACAUACUCCAGCCAUGAUAUGCUGCCCUCGCCAAAGGCCCAAAUCCAUGUGUCCACCCAGUCUUGGACUUGAAGCUCCAGAUCCAUGAGCCAAAAUAAGUCUCUUUCCAUACUAUAAAUAGCCUGUGCCAGUAAUUUCAUUAUAGUAAAAGAAAGCUGACUAAUCUAGCAGGAGACCUUCCAGGAGGACAGUCCCAGAAUUGAGAGCCUCAAAUGCUCUCUGAAUGUUUCAGACAUGAGAAUUCAUAUGAGAGAGAAAGACCUAUUGAAUGGUCAGCAUUGGAAAGUCUUUCACUUUCCCAUGUUUCUUAGAAAUUUGGGAGUUCAUACUGAAAAGGAACCAGGAAAUAGAAAGGAUGAUAAGUUUUCAGUGACGUCUCUUAACAUUAGGAAAAAAAGUGAAGCAUGGUGGUGCACAUCUGUAAUCUCAGUGACUUGGGAGGCUGAGGAGGAGUAUUGCAAGUUCAGCAAAAGCAAGGUGCUAAGCAA